rnacentral:lncRNA from 1 species
UGAUCCUGUUUUCAGUUAGAAAGGUUUCAAAACCAUCUUUAAAAAGUUAAAUCCAAGUCUUCAAGUUUUAUUCAUGCUCUUGAAAAAUAGCAGAUACCAUUACAUGUGCUUAUUUAUUUCACAUUUAAGAUCCAAGUGGAGAAAUCGGAUUAUAGUUUCCUUGUCUGCCGUAAACUAUGUGGAUGGUUUCGUUUCAGACGGUUAUAGGGUGAGAAGCAGCCCAUAGCUUGUUACCUGUUUAUCCGAAGGACAGAUCGGUGCUCAAGAAAGGUGGCGACACGGAGGCCCAGAGUGAGGAAGUCAUGUAUUCAAGGUGGCAGAGCUGGGAUUUGUAUAUCAUCUCUGUACCUGAGCCCCUAACCUGCAAGUCAUAAUAGGCAACGGAUCAAUGUUAUGAUGCAGUGGAGGCCCUUACCAGAAGCCAACCAGAUGCCAGCACCAUGCUCUUGGAUUUCCCAGUCUCCAGAAUGGUGUGGUGACCAUUUGCAUGCCAAGCUUGAGGACACUGGAAUUCUGCGAAGUCAUCUGUUCCCUUGCCCACGUGCAGGUGGAGACGGAACCCUAGACACUGCUCAUCCCAAUCAGGCCCUUUCCAGGCCUGUCCCAUUCCAAUCGGGCAUCAGAUGUGGCAUUGAUCAUCAUCUACUUAACAAACGAGGCUCCCCUUUCAAUGCACUUGGGUCUCCUCUGGGCCAACCUUGGUUCUGAGAUAGCAGGUGCUGAAAUACUGCUGAAUCCUCAAAGCCAGACUAGCCAGUGCCUGGCACCUGAUGGGAAUAUGAUUUCAACGAACAGCUCACAGAAUCCUCCCCACAAAGCCGAGAAGCAGGAAGCAGCAACCCUCCCAGAUGAAGAAGCGAAGGCUCGGAAAAGCUAAGUAACUUCUCCAAGCUGACGCAGCUCGUGAGAGGAGGGACUGGGAUUCAAAUCCCUGCAGGGGGAGACCAGCAGCCCCGACUUCAGCCGCCAUGCCUCCUGCCUGAGAAGCUAGCUGCGAAGGUUCCAGAAGGAGACUGCCCUCCGGGAACAGAAACAGCGCAUGACUGCGACCUGUCUGCAAAAAUCUUGAUCACUUGUAAAUCCUUCUCCACCUGAUAAGUUAUCACAUUGGCUCAUGAUGUUUUUUUUCAUUCUCAGUGAGUUCAAAAUACUAUUUUGGUUUGUCUCAGUUUCUUCCUCUCUCUCUCUCUCUCUCUCUCUCUCUCUCGUAUAAAGGUAUCCACAUGUCACAUGUCAUUUGUUGAUAAUUAAAUUUUGAAUAGACAAUUCAUUGUCAAAACCAUCAAACAGUAUACUACAUGUCUGCAUUUGACUCUAUAUACAUUUUACCUAACAAGGAAAGCCCAUAAACAAAUACGAAAGUCUGGCUAAUGAUCCACAUACAGAAGUGUUUGGGAGGAUGGGCUCUGAGAUCUACAGCUUACUUUGAAAGGCAUCAAAGUGUAUUGACGGACGUCUGGAUGGAUGGAGGGAUAGACGUGUGUUAAACUAAACAGACCAACAUGGCAAUUACAGAAACUAGAUGAUAAGUACAUCGAUGCUCACUGUACAAUUCUUCAUGUUGCUAAUUUUCAUUAACAUGUUCAAAAAUUCUGAAUACAGACACUAGGUAGAAACUCCAAAGACACAAGUUAAAUGUAAGUAAGUCUUCCUCCACCUCAUCCUGUCUGUCAGUCUUUCGGGUUCCCUAACAAUGGCAAUGGCAAUCCCUAGUACCUGUGGCUCUGGGGUAUCAUUCCAGGGAUAUUCUAUGCCUGUUUUAACACAUAGAUGAUUUAUUUUCAGUGAUGAUAAUGAUAACUAAUAAUUAUGCCGCACUUGCUACAUGCCAAGCACUGUCCUGUUUAACAUACAUUGAUUUAUGAAAUCUCUUCAACAGCCCUAUGGCGUGGAUGCUGUUACUACCCCAUUUUACAAAGGAGUAAAGUGAGGCCCAGAGAGAACAGUUAAAUCACUUCCCCAGCUUCACUCAACUCAUCUACGGUGAGUCGACGGUACACAUGCCCUUCCACAACACAAAGGUCUCCACUUUGCCACGUGUCACUCUGAUGGUUCCAGGUGCAGAUUUUGCGUCUGCUUCUUGACUUCUAAUGGCUGCACCAUUUUGCAUUGGAUGGUUAUACCAUCAUUUAUUUGACUCAUCUCCUGUGCACAAGCAUCUAGUUUAUCUGCAAACUUUUGCUACCAAAAACAAUGCUGCAAUGAAUAAAUAAGCUGAUGCCUGCUUCUAAGCGUGCGUGCAUGCUGUAAUGUGAGAUGAAUUCCCAGAAGUGGAGUGGCUGAGUCCAAGAGUAAAUGCAUUUUUCAUUUUGAUAGUAUCGCCAAAUGUCUUUCCAAAGGGGUUGUGCUGGAUCCCACUCCAGCUAGCAAUGUGUGAGAGCACCAAUCCCACCGCCCACUGCAGCACACAUAUUGACGUCGGCUAGUCCAAUACCAGCACAGGCAGCUGGGC